AUGAGUGGCCAACAGCUGAAUCAGAGUCCUCGGUUUAUGUCCAUCCAGGAGGGAGAGGAUGUCUCCAUGAACUGCAAUUCUUCAAGCACAUUAAACCUCUUGCUAUGGUACAAGCAGGAUGCUGGGGGAGGCCCCAUCCUACUGAUAACCUUAUAUAAGGGUGGUGAAUCGACCAGAAAUGGGAAACUGACCGCUCAGUUCAGUGGAACAAGAAAGGACAGCUUCCUGAACAUUUCAGCCUCUGAGCCUAAAGAUGCAGGCACCUACUUCUGUGCUGGCAACACAGUGCUCCCCAAGCACCUGCAGCCUGCACUCAAACUUGCAAGGGGGAUGGCAGCCACUGUGCAACCUCCCCUCCUGUUCCUCUUGCCAUGA